rnacentral:rRNA from 1 species
UGGGGAAUUUUGGACAAUGGGCGAAAGCCUGAUCCAGCAAUGCCGCGUGUGUGAAGAAGGCCUUCGGGUUGUAAAGCACUUUUGUCCGGAAAGAAAUCCUUGGCUCUAAUACAGUCGGGGGAUGACGGUACCGGAAGAAUAAGCACCGGCUAACUACGUGCCAGCAGCCGCGGUAAUACGUAGGGUGCAAGCGUUAAUCGGAAUUACUGGGCGUAAAGCGUGCGCAGGCGGUUUGCUAAGACCGAUGUGAAAUCCCCGGGCUCAACCUGGGAACUGCAUUGGUGACUGGCAGGCUAGAGUAUGGCAGAGGGGGGUAGAAUUCCACGUGUAGCAGUGAAAUGCGUAGAGAUGUGGAGGAAUACCGAUGGCGAAGGCAGCCCCCUGGGCCAAUACUGACGCUCAUGCACGAAAGCGUGGGGAGCAAACAGGAUUAGAUACCCUGGUAGUCCACGCCCUAAACGAUGUCAACUAGUUGUUGGGGAUUCAUUUCCUUAGUAACGUAGCUAACGCGUGAAGUUGACCGCCUGGGGAGUACGGUCGCAAGAUUAAAACUCAAAGGAAUUGA